rnacentral:lncRNA from 1 species
AAAAAAAAGGGGCUAGCAAAGUUGUUUAGAGCUAAGAUUUGUUUAGAAGUUGAGAAAAUCCUUUAUAGAUUUCAAAGGAAAAGAGUUUUAUGUGCAAAGUGUUCUUGGGAUCUUUUGGUGAGAGAUGAGAGUUGGGUUUGACAUUGGGAAGUGAUUGUGUAACCUGUAUGUUUGGGAAAAGGGUAAAACAAUGGAGAUUGGACAUUGUAUGCAUGAGUUGGUCACUUUCUUAGAUAUAUUAUGUGCAAUGUCAAGACUACUUGUUUUGAGAGUAAACCACUUUAAAAGAU